UACGCUGGCGGCACGCCUAACACAUGCAAGUCGAACGAAGUAGCAAUACUUAGUGGCAGACGGGUGAGUAACAUGUAGGUAUCUGCCCUUUGGCCUGGAAUAACACGAGGAAACUUGUGCUAAUACCGGAUAAGUCUUUACGGAGAAAGCUUUAUGCACCAUUGGAUGAGCCUGCACUUGAUUAGUUUGUUGGUGGGGUAAUGGCCUACCAAGACUGUGAUCAAUAGCUGAUUUGAGAGGAUGAUCAGCCACAUUGGGACUGAGACACGGCCCAAACUCCUACGGGAGGCAGCAGUGGGGAAUCUUGCACAAUGGAGGAAACUCUGAUGCAGCGAUGCCGCGUGAGUGAAGAAGGCCUUUGGGUUGUAAAGCUCUUUCGUCGGGGAAGAAAAUGACUGUACCCGAAUAAGAAGGUCCGGCUAA
rnacentral:rRNA from 1 species